rnacentral:lncRNA from 1 species
CUUCUUGUCCCUUGCUUUCUCGAGGUUGCUAACUCUUUUUUCCAUAGAAUCCAUAAAGUUAAUCAACCUCUCUUGUAGCGCAGGAGUUAGGUUCACCCCCCCAUUUGAUGGUAGUGAUGAGGGCACCUCAUGUGUCGAAAGUGGUAUAUUGGAGGUUGGUAUAGUACGGGAACCAACCGUCCUACCAGAAGCUCCUACCUCAGUAGCAAUGGCAAGAGCUUUCUUUUUAUGAUCCUUAGUAAAAGGAGCCAUAAAUGGGAUGGUUGCUUCUAUCGGGUCGAAGCAACAGACUACGAUUGGAAGUUCCUCCGAAAUGUCGGAAGCUAUGGGUAGGUACCUGCCCCCCCGGGUGUCACAAAACAGAAAAAAUUUCGUAUAAUAUUUCUUUGUAGUUUUGUUACCCCCUUGAGCAGUACUACUAGUCCCCAAAGUUUGGAAUUAGCAAAAAAUAUCGCAAAUUUUUUGCAAUUUUUCAGCAGAAAAUCGUGCCGCCGGAGGUCGUUUUCGGGAUGCCUGUUUAGACCUAAUCCAGAAAAGAUUCCUUGCACUGUUGGGAAACUCUGCCUUAUUGUACUCGUAGAGAAAACUUUUUUCAAGUGAUGUGUGGUCGUAGAAUCCCAAAAUCAGAUCUGGGUAUUCCGGAGGUGGACCGACAGAAUCACUGGUAGUGAAAAAAGGUAAAAAGCCCCUUUUUUUUUUUUUUUUUACCGAAACGACGAUGCGAAUCCAACCGUGACGAUGGAUUUUCGUUUCGGUAAAAGAGCUGGGCUAUGCGUGGUCUUAUUCAGCCGAAGCAAUGAAUGAAGACGAUGAUCGAAUGACCAAAUCGACAAUUCAACUAUGGGAAUCGCCUAUUCAGUGUGGAAGUCGGCGACUCAACUGUGGGAAUCGCCUACUCAGUGUGGUCUUAUUCAGCCGAAGCAAUGAAUGAAGACGAUGAUCGAAUGACCGAAUCGACAAUUCAACUAUGGGAAUUGCCUAUUCAGUGUGGGAGUCGGCGAUUCAAUUGUGGAAAUCGCCUACUCAGUGUGGUCUUAUUCAGCCGAAGCGAUGAAUGAAGACGAUGACCGAAUCGACAAUUCAACUGUGGGAAUCACCUACUCAGUAUGAGAGUCGGCGACUCAACUGUGGAAAUCGCCUACUCAGUGUGGAUAGGUGAUUUUCUAUGAAAAAUCCAACCUAUAUGGAAGUGAAAGUGCCAGAGCAAAAGGCAUUGACAGCACUUGCUCAAAAAGCUAAAGGAAUCGGCGACUCCCUAUGUGGAGUCGGCGAUUCAACUUAUGGCCUUUUUGAACCAAGCCGUGGACAGCACUCUUAGCUAGCAGAAUAACCCAUAAUCGGCGACUCACUAGGUGGAGUCGGCGAUUGCCUGUGUGAAUCGGAGAUUCCUUGACACAAAGUCAGCGACUCACCCUAAGGGAAUCGAGCUGAACUUUGCGAAGAAAAUUUCGCGAUUACGACGGGAUAUCGUGAUUCGAUAGUUCCCACAGACGGCGCCAGCUGAUGAAGCACGAAAUCUGCUACCAGUAGGCUCGCGGGGUUGCAAGGAGGGCCGGAGGCUUUGGAGUCCACGACGCACGCUCUACGUCAAUGUACCUGCAGAAGAGGAGGGGAAUCGGCGACUCACGUGGGAGUAGGCGAUUUGGGCUCCUUAGUUUGCUCUGGUUGGUGUGUGUCAAGUGUG